UACAACUUUCAGCAACGGAUCUCUUGGCUCUCGCAUCGAUGAAGAACGCAGCGAAAUGCGAUAAGUAAUGUGAAUUGCAGAAUUCAGUGAAUCAUCGAAUCUUUGAACGCACCUUGCGCUCCUUGGUAUUCCGAGGAGCAUGCCUGUUUGAGCGU
rnacentral:rRNA from 1 species